UACGUAGGGCGCAAGCGUUUAUCCGGAAUUAUUGGGCGUAAAGAGCUCGUAGGCGGUUUGUCGCGUCUGCCGUGAAAGUCCGGGGCUCAACUCCGGAUCUGCGGUGGGUACGGGCAGACUAGAGUGAUGUAGGGGAGACUGGAAUUCCUGGUGUAGCGGUGGAAUGCGCAGAUAUCAGGAGGAACACCGAUGGCGAAGGCAGGUCUCUGGGCCACUACUGACGCUGAGAAGCGAAAGCAUGGGGAGCGAACAGG
rnacentral:rRNA from 1 species